rnacentral:snoRNA from 1 species
GCGUCCUAUUUGAUGAAGUAUUUUACGGAUGUAAAAAAGUCUAACGACUUGCAUGUCCGAGAGCGCAAAACCCCAUGUGGAUUCUUUCCGUUGCCUUCCUUCUGAUUUCUCCU